CACGUAGGGCGCAAACGUUGUCCGGAAUUAUUGGGCGUAAAGAGCUCGUAGGCGGUGUGUCGCGUCGGCCGUGAAAACCUGCAGCUUAACUGUGGGCUUGCGGUCGAUACGGGCAUCACUGGAGUUCGGCAGGGGAGACUGGAAUUCCUGGUGUAGCGGUGAAAUGCGCAGAUAUCAGGAGGAACACCGGUGGCGAAGGCGGGUCUCUGGGCCGAUACUGACGCUGAGGAGCGAAAGCGUGGGGAGCGAACGGG
rnacentral:rRNA from 1 species